AUAGAGGCUAUGAUGGAGCAAGUAAAAACCAAUUAACCUGACAGAGAGUGGGAUUCGUCGGCUGGGAGAUCCCUCGGGUAAUGGAUUUUGAAACCCACUCCGGAGCUGUUCGGGAUUUGAACCGAACCGGCAGCCCCCGAUACCGGGCAGCAAGUGAAUGCAUUUUUUGGGAAUGCAUUAAUAAAGGUGGUACCACGAAAGCUACCCUUUCGUCCUUUGG
rnacentral:ncRNA from 1 species